rnacentral:misc_RNA from 1 species
CAACCCUCAAGCUCUGCUUGGUAUUGGGCGUCACCGCCUCGGUGCGCCUUAAAAUCAGUGGCGGCGCCAUCCGGCUUCAAGCGUAGUAAUACUUCUCGCUCUGGGGAUCCGGGUGUGUGCUUGCCAGCAACCCCCAAUUUAUCAAA